rnacentral:lncRNA from 1 species
AGAAAGGUAAAUAUGGGGAAAAUUUUAAAUUAGCCCACGCGAAACAUAAGCACAAUGCAAAAGAAAGAAGAAAGAAAAAACAAUGUCAAUUGGAGAGAUUACUUGGCCUGGUUGACCAUCUCUCUUAGCACUUGAUUCCCCGCCUUUUCCUGAUCCCUUGUUGUCACCCUAUCAAAAUGGCAGAAACAAUCCUAAUGAGACACAAUCAUACAACAUAAAAGAAGAGCGGUAAGUGAAAAAUGAGAACCACUGACCUCCAUCUGCAAGAUUCCAAUCCAUAUAGCAUAGAAAGAGAAGAAAAACAGAGAGUUAGUGAGUUAUAUCUUUGGUUCAACAAACUGAAUAAGCUGAAGUGGAACAUACCUCUCUGUAUCUCGUCAGGUAAAACUUGAGAGGCUCAACGUACUCUUCAAAUCCUAAAGUGGUCAUAGCCCAAAGCAAAUCAUCUCCAUUAAUAGUCUUCCUCUUCUCUCUCUGGCACUUAUCACUCGCU